rnacentral:rRNA from 1 species
ACGGGUGAGUAACACAUCGGAACGUGCCUAGUAGUGGGGGAUAACUACUCGAAAGAGUAGCUAAUACCGCAUGAGAUCUAAGGAUGAAAGCAGGGGACCUUCGGGCCUUGCGCUACUAGAGCGGCUGAUGGCAGAUUAGGUAGUUGGUGGGAUAAAAGCUUACCAAGCCGACGAUCUGUAGCUGGUCUGAGAGGACGACCAGCCACACUGGGACUGAGACACGGCCCAGACUCCUACGGGAGGCAGCAGUGGGGAAUUUUGGACAAUGGGCGAAAGCCUGAUCCAGCAAUGCCGCGUGUAGGAUGAAGGCCCUCGGGUUGUAAACUACUUUUGUACGGAACGAAAAGCUCUCUUCUAAUAAAGGAGAGUGAUGACGGUACCGUAAGAAUAAGCACCGGCUAACUACGUGCCAGCAGCCGCGGUAAUACGUAGGGUGCGAGCGUUAAUCGGAAUUACUGGGCGUAAAGCGUGCGCAGGCGGUUAUGUAAGACAGAGGUGAAAUCCCCGGGCUCAACCUGGGAACGGCCUUUGUGACUGCAUAGCUAGAGUACGGUAGAGGGGGAUGGAAUUCCGCGUGUAGCAGUG